GGGCAAGUCUCCUACGACCAGCUCCCGUCAACUCCCCCAGGGCCGGAAGGCAGCAAGGGUAGACGGUUGNAGCGGUGCGAUAGGAAUCGCUUGCCCUUU
rnacentral:SRP_RNA from 1 species